AUUGAACGCUGGCGGCAGGCCUAACACAUGCAAGUCGAACGGCAGCACAGAAGAGCUUGCUCUUUGGGUGGCGAGUGGCGGACGGGUGAGUAAUGUCUGGGAAACUGCCCGAUGGAGGGGGAUAACUACUGGAAACGGUAGCUAAUACCGCAUAACGUCGCAAGACCAAAGUGGGGGACCUUCGGGCCUCACACCAUCGGAUGUGCCCAGAUGGGAUUAGCUAGUAGGUGGGGUAAUGGCUCACCUAGGCGACGAUCCCUAGCUGGUCUGAGAGGAUGCCAAGCCACACGGGAACUGAGACACGGUCCAGACUCCUACGGGGGGCAGCAGUGGGGAAUAUUGCACAAUGGGCGCAAGCCUGAUGCAGCCAUGCCGCGUGUAUGAAGAAGGCCUUCGGGUUGUAAAGUACUUUCAGCGGGGAGGAAGGCGGUGAGGUUAAUAACCUUGCCGAUUGACGUUACCCGCAGAAGAAGCACCGGCUAACUCCGUGCCAGCAGCCGCGGUAA
rnacentral:rRNA from 1 species